AACCUUAUGGACCUGCGGGCGUAUACCUGCGGAAGGAUCAUUAACGAAUGGUCAUCCUUGAUCUUCUUCACCCUCAAACCACUGUGGACACAAGAUGUGCUUCGGCGUCGAGAGGCGCCGCCUUUAUGCUUCAUCAAGUCUUCCUUGUCUGUAAAAAAUGAAUGUCAAAACUUUUAACAACGGAUCU
rnacentral:misc_RNA from 1 species